rnacentral:lncRNA from 1 species
UUGUCUUGUGUUAGGAGGUGAAAUACUUGCUCUCUAUGUAAAAUACAAUGGCUGCCUCAAGUGGGUCACAAUCCAGUGGGGGAGUUGCCUAAAUAUAUUAAUUAUAAGAAAAUAAAGAAAGUGCAAAAAAGUGCUAUGAACUAAGUGCAUAUGAGCAGAGGGAAUAACAAAAGUAGAAAAUAAACUCAAUGUUGAGAAGACCCUUCACUAGAAUACCAUUUAAAUAGAGUCUUAAAGAAGACAACUUGGAAGAUGAAAGUUUAGUGAUGCUGAUGUGGAAAGCAAGUUAAAAAUUCCAUACAUAGAAAAUCUCUGUUCUAUACGAAAUCAUGAAUAAAGUCAUCAAAGUCAUGUGAAUAUUCAUGGCAUCAUGAGGAAUCAGUGUUACUGGAAUUGCUCUAGACGUACAUGGGAGUGCAUUAGAAGAGGAGGCUGGAGAGCCUUGUGAAGAAGGUACCUGCUUCCCUUUCUGCCAUGAUUGUAAUUUUCCUGAAGUCGCCCCAACCAUGUGGUACUGUGAAUUAAUUAAUUUGCUUUCCUUUAUAAAUUACUGAGUCUCAGGGAAGUUCUUUAUAGCAGUGUGAAAACAAACUAAUGAGCAUUUUUUAUGUUGAAGAACCUCUGGUAUGCUGACUCUUUAAGAGUUUGAGUAUUAAAAAAAAGUUUUCUGUCCAGCAAAGCCUUAAUAUUGAGCAUAGUGCAUAAUAUUCUCACUUAAGAAUUUUCAAAUUAGCUGAAUAAACAUUCUAAAAAAUUCUAGUUAAUGGAAUUAACAUAACUUUUCUGUGACUAUAUGGAAAUUAUCUUACAUACUGUAAAUUCAGAGGUAUACAUAAUUAGACUUUGUCUAUAUCUGUAAACACUGUAUUAUUUGAAUAAUUUUGAUUGAAUAACUAUUUU